AAUACUUUUCAGGAAACUGGUUCUGUUUAACCGCAGAUUAAAAGGGAAUCGUGUGAAAAUCACGGACUGUCGCGCAACUGUAAGUAACCGAAGUCUUUAUAAAAAACCACUGUGCAAAAGCAUGGGAAGGUAUAAAGAUGUUACAAGUCAGGAGACCUGCCUAUUUCUUUAGACAAAAA
rnacentral:ncRNA from 23 species